rnacentral:lncRNA from 1 species
GCGAUGCUGCCCCGCCCCCUGAGGGCCGGCCCCCUGAAGCGCAAGAGAAGGAGGGGCGCGCAGGGAUCGCGCCUAGUCUCUCCGCCUGCGGAGCCGUGGGGUCCCGGCAGCCCGCAGGAGUGCUAAGUAAGGGUCCUUCAGGGCGGGAACCAGGUUCCAGGCAGGGACGCAGGCUACGUUCGAAUAAAAGUACCGAAGGUCAUAAGGCCCCAGUUCAGAUGGGACUUCCCCGCGUGACAGCACAGAGAUAACGGCCAGCCCUGGGCGAAGAUUGAAGAUCUCAAACAGACAAAUCAUGGCUUGGAAGAAUAUGUUAGGAAACUCUUGGAUAGUAAGGAGGUGGUAAGCAGUCAAGUAGAUGAUUUAACCAGCCACAAUGAGCAUCUUUGUAAAGAAUUGAUUAAAAUUGACCAACUAGCAGAGCAACUCGAAAAAGAGAAAAAUUUUGUGGUGGAUUCCGCCAACAAGGAACUUGAAGAAGCCAAGAUUGAUCUCAUUUGCCAGCAAAAUAAUAUUAUAGUAUUGGAAGAUACAAUAAAAAGGCUUAAAUCUAUAAUUUUAGAUACUGAAAAAGCACAAAAUAAAUCUCCUUCUA